rnacentral:lncRNA from 1 species
CUUCCGGGAGCGGAGAGGCGGCCGGGGGGAGAGGCUGGAGGGAGGGGGGCUUCACGGAGCUCCAGCCAGGGCCGCGGUGCGCCUGCACGUCACGGCUACUCAAACCCAAGCACGUCCCGAAAGCGGUAUUUUCUGCGUCUGGGAGGUUUUUGCAUCCUCAGUUCCCACCGCUGGGGCUGGCGGCGACCAACUGCUACCGAGCUGGCCUGAUGAUGAUCCUGCUGAGAUAUAUUUAUAGCAGAUGAUUUGUGGAUGAUAACUACGCCAAGCAAGACACGGUCUCCAUAACCCCAGGCUCGUCUGACUUCCUCAGGGGAUUAUAAUCAAGAAUCAGGAAAAGAGCCCUAUAUGGACAGUCUGGUCUCUGGACACUAACAACAGCACAAUCCAAAGGCAAAGCAAGGAGGAACCACUUUGUUUCAUGUCUGCAAGAUGCUCCAUAUAGAAAGCAUUGCUGACAUGUUGACCCAACAGCAAAAGAGAGCAGCAGUUCACACACCCUCAGCUCUCUGUCCUUUCCUUUCUAUUGAUGUUGGUCCACUUUUAUGAUUUAAUACAUAUUAAAUUCAACAUUUCAAAUUAUAAUUAUCUGCUUUCAUUGGU